rnacentral:lncRNA from 1 species
CUUAACUCAGACAUUCUGGCUGGGAGGGAGAGGAAGAAACAAAGAAUAAAGAGAACAGAAGCAGGGAGAAAAAACAGAGGAGAAAGAGGGAUCACAAGAGACAAAACUGGAAUACAAUACAAUGCAGAACAGGAAGCUGAUUAUGAAAAUCUAUGUUAAUGAAGGUAACAGGAAAGCUUCGGCAUGAGAAAAAGAAGGAAGAAGAAAACAGAGCAGACAAAAAGGAUGGAGAGAGGAAAAAAGAAACUAGGAGAGAAUGAAGGAAGCAAAGAAAAUUAUUUUUUUAUAAAUGUAACUCAGACAAGGCCUAAUCCUUCAGACUUUUUGUGCAGGCAAAAAUCAUUAAUUAAUUUGCAGAAUCAGAGCCACAAUAUUGAAGGGUGGUCCAUCCAGCAAGAUUGA